ACGGUUUGGUAGGAAGGAAACACACACUCUCAAGACAGAACAAAUAUGUUUUAUUAUAGUUAAUCCCUGCAUUUCCCCUUUUGAGACAGGGUCUCACUCUGUCACUGAGGCUGGAAUGCUAAGGGGUGAUCAUAGCUCCCUGCAGCCUCCGCCUCCCAGGCCGAAGUAUUCCUCCCACCUCAGCCUCCUGAGUAGCUGGGACUAGAGAUGUGAGCUGCCAUGCCUGGCUAAUUUUUUGCUUUUUUUAUACAGACAAGGUCUUGCUAUGUGGCCCAGGGUAAUCUGAAGCUCCUGGCCUCUAGCCUUCACCCACCUCAGCCUCCUGAAGUGCUGGGAUUCCAGGCAUGAGCCACCAUGGUAGACCCUGCAUUACUCCUCUGUGCUCACUGCCACACGCAGCUCAACCUGAGCUACACAGCCAGGUGUCAGGUGCGUCUCUGCUGAUCUGAGUCUAACUGCAGCAUGGACCUGGGUUUUCCCUGAAGCAUCUCCAGGGCUGGAGGGACGACCGCCAUGGGCUGAGUCUGGGCCCCAGGACCCACGUGCAGGCAGGGCACCUCCCCAAGCCCACCCUCUGGGCUGAGCCAGGCUCUGUGAUCAUCCAGGGAAGUCCUGUGACCCUCAGGUGUCAGGGGAGCCUUCAGGCUGAGGAGUACCAUCUAUAUAGGGAAAACAAAUCAGCAUCCUGGGUUAGACGGAUACAAGAGCCUGGGAAGAAUGGCCAGUUCCCCAUCCCAUCCAUCACCUGGGAACACGCAGGGCGGUAUCACUGUCAGUACUACAGCCACAAUCACUCAUCAGAGUACAGUGACCCCCUGGAGCUGGUGGUGACAGGAGCCUACAGCAAACCCACCCUCUCAGCUCUGCCCAGCCCUGUGGUGACCUCAGGAGGGAACGUGACCCUCCAGUGUGUCUCACAGGUGGCAUUUGACGGCUUCAUUCUGUGUAAGGAAGGAGAAGAUGAACACCCACAACGCCUGAACUCCCAUUCCCAUGCCCGUGGGUGGUCCUGGG
rnacentral:lncRNA from 10 species